rnacentral:piRNA from 1 species
UGAUAUCUCCUUCACCAAGAAAGAAGGUUCU